rnacentral:rRNA from 1 species
CCUACGGGAGGCAGCAGUGGGGAAUUUUGGACAAUGGGCGAAAGCCUGAUCCAGCCAUGCCGCGUGAGUGAAGAAGGCCUUCGGGUUGUAAAGCUCUUUCAGUCGGAAAGAAACGAUUGUGAUUAAUACUCACAAUUAAUGACGGUACCGACAGAAGAAGCACCGGCUAACUACGUGCCAGCAGCCGCGGUAAUACGUAGGGUGCGAGCGUUAAUCGGAAUUACUGGGCGUAAAGGGUGCGCAGGCGGUCUUGUAAGUCAGAUGUGAAAUCCCCGGGCUUAACCUGGGAAUUGCGUUUGAAACUGCAAGGCUAGAGUGCAGCAGAGGGGAGUGGAAUUCCACGUGUAGCAGUGAAAUGCGUAGAGAUGUGGAAGAACACCGAUGGCGAAGGCAGCUCCCUGGGCUGACACUGACGCUCAUGCACGAAAGCGUGGGGAGCAAACAGGAUUAGAUACCCUGGUAGUCCACGCCCUAAACGAUGUCAACUAGUUGUCGGAUCUAAUUAAGGAUUUGGUAACGUAGCUAACGCGUGAAGUUGACCGCCUGGGGAGUACGGUCGCAAGAUUAAAACUCAAAUGAAUUGACGGGGA